GGGCUCGGGCCCCAUCGUGCUGGAUGACGUGCAGUGCUCCGGGCAUGAGUAUGCCCUGUGGUCCUGCCCACACAGAGGCUGGAACAUUCAUAACUGCAACCACGGGGAAGACGCUGGUGUCAUCUGCUCAGCUGUACAGUCGACUUCUCCCAAACCAACCCCAGGUUGGUGGGAAACUUCAACACCUGCA